rnacentral:rRNA from 1 species
CCUACGGGGGACAGCAGUGAGGAAUAUUGGUCAAUGGUCGGGAGACUGAACCAGCCAAGCCGCGUGAGGGAUGAAGGUACAGAGUAUCGUAAACCUCUUUUGUCAGGGAAUAAAGGGGGGCACGUGUGCCCUGUUGAGUGUACUUGAAGAAAAAGCAUCGGCUAACUCCGUGCCAGCAGCCGCGGUAAUACGGAGGAUGCGAGCGUUAUCCGGAUUUGUUGGGUUUAAAGGGUGCGUAGGAUGUGAGGUAAGUCAGCGGUGAAAUGCUCGCGCUUAACGGGUUGAAGUGCAAUUGAUACUGGCAGGCUUGAGUACAGUUGCGGUAGGAGGAAUGUGUGGUGUAGCGGUGAAAUGCAUAGAUAUCACACAGAACACCGAUUGCGAAGGCAGCUCACGAAGCCGCGAUUGACACUGAUGCACGAAAGCGUGGGUAUCAAACAGGAUUAGAUACCCGAGUAGUC